GGACAGUUCAGAAGCUAAGUGAGUUCUCUGCUACUGGAAAUGGCUUCUUUUUCCACCAGCUCUACUUAUUGUCUCAGCAAGAAUGUUGUGUUUUUAUCUGAUUUCUCUCCACUAAAUCAGUUUCCCACUCAAAGUCCCAGGAGAAGAUUUUCCAAGAAAAUUGUUUCUAUGAUCACACAACCAAGUUCAAGAAUGCCUGCCACCACUGGCUCAGUGAAGAGUUGGAUGACUAUGACUGAGAAGUUGCUGGCUAGGACUUCUGAGAAGCUUCAUGUGGUUCCAGGUGAGAAUUUGUGGGUCAAUGUCGAUGUUUUGAUGACAAAUGAUAUUACUGGGCCUGGUGCUAUUGGAGUAUUUAAAAGAGAAUUUGGAGAAAAUGCCAAGGUAUGCUAAAAUAGCCAUAUCGUUGAAUUUAGUUGAGUUUCAUCUUUGUAGUUAUAUAUGGUUAGAGAUUUAUGUCUGUAGGUUUUCCGGAGUUUUUGGUUUAUGAACAUUCACAAUUGACGAAAUUUCAUGUAUAAACAAGAGCAAGUUAGAGUUUGAUGCCUCCAAAGAUAUGAUUCAAUAUCUUACUCCUCAUUCUGACAACUUGAAAAGGGAUGCUUUCGUAUCUCUACUUAAAAUCAUUCAUAUCUUGAACUUUUCCUCUCUUGGUAACUUGAACUCCCAAGCUCAUGGUAUAAAGAGGGCAAGCAUUCGACUCGUGUGUAGUUGGGUUCUGUAUCACCUAGGGAAGUAGAAUUUGUGCAGUAACUUAACUAUACAAUAUACCCCGCGAUGAAGCAUCUGCACAGGAUCAGUGAUUCAUAGUUGAGGUACUGAGAAAAGUUGAUGCGGAGUACCAUGCUUAAAUUCUAAUCCAGUAAAAAAUUCACUUGAACAGACCUUGAUUUUCCUGUUGGGACACUUCUAUGGCUCUAAUAGUGCCGGGGAUUGUUUGUUUUCUUCAUAUCUUAGGUCUGGGAUCGUGAAAAGGUAGUUGUCAUACCCGAUCACUACAUUUUCACAGCUGAUGAACGAGCAAAUCGUAAUGUGGAUACACUGAGGGACUUCUGCAAUGAGCAAAAUAUUAAGUACUAUUAUGACAUUAAAGACCUCGGAAACUUCCAGGCUAAUCCAGAUUACAAAGGAGUGUGCCACAUUGCUCUUGCCCAAGAAGGUCACUGCAGACCAGGAGAGGUUUUGGUAGGUACAGACUCUCAUACAUGUACUGCAGGAGCAUUCGGUCAAUUUGCAUCUGGAAUCGGAAAUACUGAUGCUGGUUUUGUUCUGGGUACUGGAAAGAUUUUGCUCAAGGUUCCUCCAACUAUCAGAUUUGUAUUGGAUGGUGAAAUUCCGAAUUACAUACUAGCUAAGGAUUUGAUUUUGCAAGUUAUUGGUGAAAUUUCUGUAGCUGGUGCAACAUACAAAACAAUGGAAUUUGUCGGUACUGCUGUUGAAAGUUUAACAAUGGAAGAGAGAAUGACAUUAUGCAAUAUGGUUAUCGAAGCUGGUGGAAAGAAUGGUGUUAUUCCUGCUGAUAAAACAACAUAUGACUAC
rnacentral:misc_RNA from 1 species